rnacentral:rRNA from 1 species
UACGUAGGCAGCGAGCGUUGUUCGGAAUUACUGGGCGUAAAGAGUGUGUAGGCGGUGUUCCCAGUCUGUUGUGAAAUCUCCCGGCUUAACUGGGAGGGUGCAGCGGAAACUAGAAUGCUAGAGGGUGGGAGAGGUAAGCGGAAUUCCUGGUGUAGCGGUGAAAUGCGCAGAUAUCGGGAAGAACACCCGUGGCGAAGGCGGUUCUCUGGGACGGUACUGACGCUGAGACGCGAAAGCGUGGGGAGCAAACAGG